GAUGAACGCUGGCUACAGGCUUAACACGUGCAAGUCGAGGGGAAACGACGGGGAAGCUUGCUUCCCCGGGCGUCGACCGGCGCACGGGUGAGUAACGCGUAUCCAACCUGCCUCUGACUGAGGGAUAACCCGUCGAAAGUCGGCCUAAUACCUCAUGGCAUCGUCUGCGGGCAUCCAACGACGAUUAAAGAUUUCAUCGGUCAGGGAUGGGGAUGCGUCUGAUUAGCUUGUUGGCGGGGUAACGGCCCACCAAGGCUACGAUCAGUAGGGGUUCUGAGAGGAAGGUCCCCCACAUUGGAACUGAGACACGGUCCAAACUCCUACGGGAGGCAGCAGUGAGGAAUAUUGGUCAAUGGGCGGGAGCCUGAACCAGCCAAGUAGCGUGCAGGAUGACGGCCCUAUGGGUUGUAAACUGCUUUUAUGCGGGGAUAAAGUGAGGGACGUGUCCUUCAUUGCAGGUACCGCAUGAAUAAGAACCGGCUAAUUCCGUG
rnacentral:rRNA from 1 species